AAGCAAUUUGCUCAUAGCCAUAGCUUUCUUGUGAAAGUAGGAUAUUAACCCAGGUGUCUUGGUGCUGGAGAACAGAACUGGCCAGAGUCCAUCCUGUCUCCCACCGGCAUCCCAUUACGAAAUGAACACAGAAAAGGCAGGUCUGCAAUGCCAACAUCUAGUAUCUAUCCCAAAGACCAGGGAGAAAGGAAGGAAAGAUUCUGGUUCUGUCCUCUUCCCCAAGGCAAGGCUGGCUGCCCUACCAACAGAGGCAAAGAGAAGAGUGUGCAAGGCUGGCUGCCCUCCCAACAGAGGCAAAGAGGAGUGUGUGUUGAAAUAUCCAUUGAAUCCCUGAGACAACUGGAUCCUGGCCCAUUGAAUCAUAAACUCAAAUCUCACAUCAUAACCCCAAAUGACCUGUUACUCACCAUGUGGCCCAGCUGUCUUCAAACUCACCAGCCUCCUGCCUUAGCCUUCUAAAUGCUUGGAUUACAGGCAUGACCCACCAUAACUGGCUUUGUUUUAGUUUCAGAGAAGAUGAAACUGAUGUGCGUCAAAAAGCUGGUAGUCUGUCAAGGAAAUGAGCUGAACAUGUCUGUGUACAGCUUUUGUGCCAUCCCUGGAUGAGCGAGCUGUCUGCCUCUAUGUUCUCCACAAAAUGGAAUAUAGCUGUACACCCAAGCCAAGUUAUGGAGGCUGGGAAGACCUAGAAUGUGGCAUCACUAUUUGCUGAAAUUUUUAAUAUAAUGCCUCUUAGCCUGGUUUGGAGAAAACGUCACAGAGAGGCACCAUUUGUUGUGGUUUUACAUGAAAAUUUUCUGACCCUGAACCUGGUUUGAUGGAAAUCAUUUGCUGAGGUUAUUUAGAAAAUUGUUACCUCAAAAAUGACCUAGGGGUCCUUAGAAUAAUAACACACAGAAGAAUAGCCUCAUUUUUCUGUUGGGCCCAGGAAACCAUGCCGAUUACCGACCGAGCUCUCAAUGGAAAAAUGCAGUCGGCGUGAACCACGCACGAACACAGCAGAGAAAGAAGAAAACACACACCACGAGGAACCCUAAUAGGACAAUACAUUAUAAGCCUCAUGGUACAUCCACUUGGUGUGCUGGGAGAGUCAGGAUGAGGACCUGAGAAGAACAGCAGCUUGAACCUGACUUCAUUUAACAGCCCACUGCCCUCUUGCCAAGAACCCAUCACAGACCUUCCCAGAAGAGAGGGAUGAGCCUCACCUAUGAAUAAGUCCUCAGAAACUCAAAUUUGAUUCUAAUGGAUUGUUUUCUCAGAAAGACUGAGCAUGUCCCCCCACAUCUCUGUCAUUUCCCACAGUAGUAACCUCUGCAGAUGCCACAUAGAAAACAAAACAAAACAAAAAAACAUGAGGUUGGUGGGCAGAUAGGCAGGGUAUAAACAAACAGCCUUGUAACCCAGAAGCUGUGUGAUAUACAGUAAACUUCACAACACUGAAAAGAUGUCCUAUCUGUUAAAAUGGGGUAAUAACAACUACCCGAAUGUUUAGGAAUAGAACUUCAAUAAAUGAUACAUUUUAUAGUACAGCAGACCAUCCUGUAAAGGUUUCAUCCUUCACUGUGGUGAUAAAUAUCCCAAACCACAUUGAAAAGCAUUGCAUCUACAUUUAUCUACACUGUAACUGUACUGUAAAUCAUGGGGGAGGGGAGAAUCAUAAAAACACCACCUGUCACCGUGUCAUUAAAGCAAGUUGGAAGUGAUACUUACAGAAACACAGCAAGAGCACCCCCAGUCACACAGUUCAAUCUCUUAGCAAGCGUUUUCUUUCUAGCCCAGUGGUUCUCAGUUUGGAAUUUUUGGCACUGCCUAGAGAUAGUUUUGUUGUUAAAACUGAGAAAAGAGCCGGGCGUGGUGGCACACGCCUUUAAUCCCAGCACUCAGGAGGCAGAGGCAGG
rnacentral:lncRNA from 1 species